ensembl:lncRNA
ACAUUGCUAAAUGCAUCGAGGUCUCAGAAACGUUUUAGUGCCGGCAAAAGAGUUUGAUUUGUUUAAAUAACCAGGUGGGAAGAAUGUUGAUGACUCAUGUCAGGGAUCAGGGAACAUUUAUUGACAAAAUAUGUCAAACCUACAAGGAAUUUGUCUUGGCUGUUGGUGCGUGACAGUAUAUCAGUCGAAAACCAUUUUGUUCGGAUUUUGUUCCUUCUAAGACGAAGUGGUCAACUGCCUUAUUGCCUGCACAAAUAUUUAUACUUGGGGACAAGAUACUCGUCAAAUAUAAGACAAUAGCACUGCAAUAAACAAGACUACAAACUUUACGAAUUGUAUUUCCACCGUCUGUAUGAAUAACAGAUAUACCGCGGGUACGGAAAGUUUUCAGACCCUUUUAAAUUUUUCGCUCUUUGUUUCAGUGCAACCAUUUGCUAAAGUGAAAAUGAAUUGAAAAGUUGUUUUAUUUCUCAUUAAUGUACACUGGUAAUUGUAUUGGGGGUGGUUGUGGUGGUGGCAGUUGAUGUUGAACAGUCACAGCUAUUAAAAUAUUGUUUAAUCCAAAUGUCAAAAAAAGGUUGGUUAUCAGGGUUUUUGUUAAUGCCCAUGGUUGUUCUGCUAUAUGUCACUUUAGCUCAAGCCGUUGUACUUGUUAUGAAAUAGCAGUGUUUCCCCUAAAACGUCAGGGCGGGGGAUAGUCGGGCAAAGCCAACCGGUCCGACCGGGUGGAUGAUGAUCAGGCAAACGGUUCAGCGAGAAGGGGGUAGUGGUGCUUUGUGCCCCGCUGCUGGGGGCUAACACGCACAUAUUCGCGACAUAUUCGUGUCAGUGUGGAACUGCCGUGGGUCAAAUGGUAGGGGAAACACUGGAUAGACACACCAAUUGAAGUACUAUUUAAAAAAUUAGGAAUUUCCAGGUACAUUGAGGCGGAACAAGGAAGAAAGUUAAAUUCAAAAUUCCCAAACAAGAACACACCCACACCUCAUUACAAUGACUAACGAUGGCUGUGGGCUAUCUGAUUGGCACUGUUGUGAAACUUCCUGGGUUAACAGGCUUGACAGGUCUUGUGUCUGUUUAAAUUGUCUUCAUUUUAGUCUGAAUUAUUUUAAAUUGUGUGAUAUUCAUGUGCAAAUACUAGGGAUUGCUUUCAUGUGAGCUGAUAUCUCAUCUGUAACAUAACCUGUUCUAAAGUAGGGUAGGUGUUGAGCAUACGUAACCAUGGCAAUCUAUCCAACUAAAAAGUGUACAUUUGUCAUGUAACUGAAAACCCAGAUUGAACCAUCACAUUAUAGGACCAUCCCAAAUUCUGCGGCCCUCAGCUCAGUUUCCCAACAUUCAACAAGAGCAAAUGAAAAAUGAACACAGGUAUUUUCACUUUCAUCUGCUGGUCUGUAGUAUUACAAUUUUGAUUUUUAUUUGGCAAGAGUAUUAAAGUGAUACUCUCCGAUGUUUGUAUAGUCACCAAAUUACAUUGGAUUUGAAUGGAAUUUUGUUUAACAUUUAAAAAAUAAGAGUUAUUUAUAGUCUUGAUAAUUAACACUCUGCGGUGUGAGGAUUGGGAAGAGUAUAUAAUAUAUUCCUUUCAAUUGAACUUUGAACUGAGAGGCUAAAAAUUCAAGUAUCCACUAAGCAAUUAGAUGUUGGGCCAAUUCAAGCACAGGAGCUUGUAAAGACAAUGUUGGGCUGGUGAGGCCGCUGCUUGGUAAGUUACCAAAGAACCAAGUUAGAAAAUAUGUUUUUUGAUUUGGUUAAACUGGCUCUUUUUAUUCAAACAUUUACUUCAUCAGUGUGCUUACCUGCAGUUAGAGUGAGCUUGCACAUUUUGACACGGUUUGGAUGCGCUGAAAGAGAAGCAUUCGGUUAAUAUGCAGCGUAAAAAAUGUGAACACAUGAUUCAUUUGACAAAUCCUCAUCCUGAGCAAUUCGCGACCAAAAUAUUUAAGAUACAUUCUCGCCUAGAUUAACUUUUAAAUUGAAAAAUCGCCUGUAAAUGUACAAUAGAACUGUGAAACACCAAAUGUAUGACUCUAGAGUAGGAAGGACAUGCUGGUGCUCGGCACAAACCCACACAUACAGUGUCCCUGUGUUUUAUGCAGGUAUAGCAAUAUACAAGCACAAAAAGUCAUGAGUUAAAAGUGGAUGGUUAGGAUCAAAGUAAAAAGUAUACUUACAAUGGUGAAGGAAGCAAACACUGUCUCUGCUGUGUCUGGUGACUGGCCAAUGACUUGCAGCGAUGCUUUAUAUGGUUGAGGAGCUGACAUGGUGUGACAAAUAUGUAGAUCACAAUGUUGUGCACAAUUAUGCAGCUGUUAAUUAUCCAAUUAUUUCGGAGUCUUUUUUCUAAGGUGGCAAUUGUGGGUUUGGCAUCUGACCAGAAUGCCUCCUAGAUGCCUCCCUUUUUUAAUUUUUCUUGGUAUGUCCAACUAAUAAGAAACGUCGUUUCUCCAUACUUGUGCUGUGCCAUUUUGGAAGGCCAGUGCCAAUGGGGCCUCAGUUCACUGUUGUUAGCUGACAGGAGUGCCAAACAACGUGGUCAUUGCUCUUUAACCCUGUUGUGCGUUCAUAUGUCUGUGUGCAUAUGUACCCAGUGGACCCUAUAAGGUUAUGCAUGAAAAUUCCAGUAGAUCAACAUGUUCUGAAAAACUCAAACCAGCCUGUCCGGCAGCAACAGCCCGGGCAUGUUCAGAGUCCCAUUUCUUCCUCAUUCUGAUGCUUGUUUUAAACUUUGGCAGAUUAUCAUGUACAUUGCUAAAUGCAUCGAGGUCUCAGACACGUUUUAGUGCCGGCAAAAGAGUUUGAUUUGUUUAAAUAACCAGGUGGGAAGAAUGUUGAUGACUGAUAUCAGAAAUCAGGGAACAUUUAUUGACAAAAUAUGUCAAACCUACAAGGAAUUUGUCUUGGCUGUUGGUGAGUGACAGUAUAUCAGUCGAAAACCAUUUUGUUCGGAUUUUGCUCCUUCCAAAACAAAGUGGUCAACUGCCUUAUUGCCUGCACAAAUAUUUAUACUUGGGGACAAGAUACUCGUCAAAUAUAAGACAAUAGCACUGCAAUAAACAAGACUACAAACUUUACGAAUUGCAUUUCCACCGUCUGUAUGAAUAACAGAGGGUACACACUGUGGGUACGGAAAGUUCUCAGACCCUUCUCUUCUCAGAAGUUUUUCGCUCUUUGUUUCAUUGCAACCAUUUGCUAAAGUGAAAAUGAAUUGAAAAGUUGUUUUAUUUCUCAUUAAUGUACACUGGUAAUUGUAUUGGGGGUGGUUGUGGUGGUGGCAGUUGAUGUUGAACAGUCACAGCUAUUGUUUAAUCCAAAUGUAAAAAUAAGGUUGAUCAUCAGGGUUUUUGUUAAUGCCCAUGGUUUUGCUGCAAUAUGUGACUUAAGCAGGCGGUUGAUACCUGUUAUGGGAUAGCAGUGUUUCCCCUAAAACUCCAGACUGCAUCAUUCCCAAGAAGACUCAAGGCUGUACUAGCUCAAAAGGGUGCUUCUACUCAAUACUGAGCGAAGGGUCUGAAUACUUAUGACCAUGUGAUAUUUCGGGUUUUUCGUUUUUAAUAAAUUUGGAAAAAAUGUUUUUUGUGUCAAGAUGGGGUGCUGAGUGUAAAUUAAUGAGAAAUAAAAUGACCUUUUUCGAUUUCAGCAAAUGGCUGCAAUGAAACAGUGGAAACAUUUAAAGGGGUCUGAAUACUUUCCGUACCCACUGUAUGUAAUAUAUGUGUAGCAUUAUCACAUGAUGUCAGGUGUGUUAAAUUAAAAGUUACACGACCAGAACUAGGCAAGUUUCCUUGUUGAAAAAAGGAACAGUAUGAAAGGAAACUCGAAUGACGCAUCGUUUCAACAUUCCCCAACAAGAACACAACCACUUCACACACAAUUUCCUGAUCAGCUGGUUGUGUGGGCUAGAUGAUUGACACAGUUGAAAAACCUUCUGUGGUCUGCAGGGCUGACAUGGAGCCCAUUGGUAUUUCCAAAAUAGGGUUAUUCAAGUUGAUUAGAUACGGUGGAAGGGGCUGUCUUAGUGGAAUUUGUGGUAAUUGUAUUGGGGCUGGUUGUGAUGGUGGCAGUUGAUGUUGAACAGUCACAGCUAUUGUUUAAUCCAAAUAUAAAAAUAAUGUUGGUAAUCAGGGUUUCUGUUAAUGCCCAUGUUUUUUCUGCUAUAUGCCACAGCUCAGGCUGUUGGUAGCUUUUAUGAGAUAGCAGUGUUUCCCCUAAAACGGGGGUUGUAAUAGUAGGCCAAAGCCAACCGGUCCGACCGGGGGGUUAAUGGUCGGGCAAAAGAGCUGGGGGUAGUAGUCACUCUGGUGCUCUGUGAUGAUACAAUGGUAGGGGAACACUGGAUAGACACACCAAUUGAAGUACUAUUUAAAUACUUUGUUUAUUUUGCAGUGUGGGAGUUUGCUAUUGCUUUACUUUUAACUCAUCAUCCUUCAAGGUGCUCUUAACAAUGAAAAAACUGUUUGCAGAAAAGGGAACAAUUUCAUUGGUACAUUGAGGCGGAACAAGGAAACAAGUUAAAUUUCCCAAACAAGAACACACCCACACCUCAUUACAAUGACUAACGAUGGCUGUGGGCUAUCUAAUUGGCACUGUUGUGAAACUUCCUGGGUUAACAGGUUUGACAUGAGCCUCAUCGACUUCAUCAUGACAGCAGUCAUUCAGAGGGUAGCGGCGGAUGUUGUGGUCGGUGUAGUUGCUGUAUGUGUUGCGAUGGUGUAAGUUGUAGUGUUAGUGGCCGUGUGUUCAGUCCGGAAUAAGAAUGGCAAUUGCUGUAUUUUUUCAAUUCCACAUUUGUUUUGCAGUGUUGGAUGUGAGCUACUCCAGCCCUCUCCUCUCCUGCGAAGGCUUCAGGCGUGCUGCUUUGACUAAAGAGUCAUGUGGAGGCGUAGCUGUGGUAGACAGUGACUUUGGGGUUAUUUAGAGAAGGUGGUGCUUGAUGAUGAGGUAGAAGGAGUUUUGGCAGUUAUAUUAGUUGUGGUGGUCGUGGUUGUGUGAAAUACAUUGUAUUAUUAAUAUGUAUUAUAAUAGAGUCAUUUAGUCAUGGCUGCAGUAGGACAACAGAGUUCCUCCUGGUGGUUGUUGGUGUGCCCUGCAGCCAGGCCAGUGCGGGUCAUAUGUAGAUGAAAUGCAUCUUCCCUCUCUCCCACCCCAGAGCACUUUUACCAUCAUUUCCUAACUAUAGAGCGCACUUGAAUACAAGCCGCACCACCUAAAUUUAGAACGAAAAAAAAGAUUGGCUGAUAGUGAUUGCUUUCGUUGCAAUAGAACGUGGGUGUUGAAUUGGUUUUCACUAGUCUUUGUAAAUUCUUAUAUUAUAUUCUUGAAUUUGUUGCCAUGAGGAGUCUAAUA